rnacentral:rRNA from 1 species
UACGAAGGGGGGCGAGCGUUGUUCGGAAUUACUGGGCGUAAAGGGCGCGCAGGCGGCUCUGAAAGUCAGAUGUGAAAGCCCCGGGCUUAACCUGGGAAUUGCAUUUGAUGCUCUGGAGCUUGAGUACGGGAGAGGAGAGUGGAAUUCCCAGUGUAGAGGUGAAAUUCGUAGAUAUUGGGAAGAACACCGGUGGCGAAGGCGGCUCUCUGGACCGUAACUGACGCUGAGGCGCGAAAGCGUGGGGAGCAAACAGGG